rnacentral:lncRNA from 1 species
AGGGCAAACAAGGUAUUAGGUCUUGAAUAUAUGGAUAUUCGAAGGCUAAUAAUAUCUCGAUCCAGAGAUCGACACUUCAUAUAUGAUAUGAUGUAUUUUCUAAAAUGCUUCAUAAAUAUUAUUAUCUCAUUCUAAGAAUAUAUCUUAGAAAUUAUUGUAUAUGUUAGAUAUUUUAAAAAUCUAUUACAAGUACUCCAUAUGAGA